GUCGCGGAGACGUCUCGGGGACCGAACGAGGGUUUUUAAAAUAGGUCGAAACAGCUCGAGCCGACCCGAGCUAUCUCUUUCGUCCCCAACAAAAUACAAAACUGUUGCCCAGUAGAUACAACCCAAGAGGGGGGGUGAAUUGGGUCUUUUAAAACUUUUAAGCUACUUCUAGUACUUUUUAAUUAAUUAUGCUAAGUUGUAUAGAUGCACAGUGAAGUGUAAACUUAGCAACAGUUUUACUCAUUGAAUGAGACUUGAUUAAGUAAUAUGCUUGCACCUAAAGGAUGAGAGGAUAAGAGUUAAACAAUCAGUUUAUCUAAGUAAGUAAGUGAGUGAGGAAGUUAGAUAACAAAGAGCAUCACAAACACAACAAACAUAUAGUGGUUCGGUGCACCCCAGCACCUACAUCCACUCCCCAAGACCUCUUGGGAAUUUCUCUAUAAUCCUACAGAUUACAGCCGGUUGUUUUACAAGCUCACAACCCAACUUGUUGUUUUGCAAGAUAACAACGAAAUCGGUCGGUUUUCCCAG
rnacentral:lncRNA from 1 species